rnacentral:lncRNA from 1 species
GGAAAGGCAACAAAGAGGAGAGGACCGAGGGAGGGGCUUCUGUCAAUCAAACUUUAACAGAUUGGAUAUUCUGUUCAUCUACCCAGGAUGAAAGGACCUACAGGCACGUGCCUGAUUAGCAGGUACCAGGGAGGGAAGGUGAAGAGGGAGGUGCUAAAAGCAAACAGAAAGAAGAACUGUGAACUCUACAAUGCAGACGUGGGAGGUUUCUGGUCCCAAGAAGAUAGCUUCAUCUGACUGAAGUCUUAUCAGAGUUGUUUGGCUGGACUUACUAACCUUCUAGAGGACAAAAUGCUGGUUGCACAAGAAUGUGAAUGUAUUUAAUGCCACCGAACUGUACAUUCAAAAAUGGUUAAAAUGCCUUGCACCUUGUCUAACUUCAUGCCACUUCCCUCCCAUGAUACAAGCUCCCCCGUGUCAAGGAAGAGAGGAG